GGCGUGCGCAUGCGCAUGCGCAUGCCCUCACCCUCAUGCGCAGGCCUAGGAGUGGGGCUGGCGUCCCGGGCGACCAGUGUGUUGUUGUUGGGUCUUAAUUCUAAAUUUGUCAGUGGCUCUCCUUGAAAUUGCUAAGUAGACAGUUGUAUAAUCCGUGACUAUUGACAUUUGCUUUCUUCUUUGGAACAUUUAAAUUUUAUUCUGUGAACUAGAACCUGAUAGUGGGCAUUCUGAGUUGUUUUUGACUAAGUGUGUAAAUGGAACCUCCAAAUAAGAUUAAAUUGAAGAGAAAGCAUUAAAGGGCAGUAUUCCAGUGGAAUCCAUGAACAGUUUAUGGACGAAGGGGCCCUGAGCCAAGGAAAGCAGGCCACCUCUAGAAGCUGGAAAAGGCAAGGAAAUGAAAUCCCCCAAGAGCCUCCAGAAGGAACACAACCAUGCCAACCUGUUUUAGACUUCUGAUCUCCUGAACUGUAAAAUAAUAAAUAUGUGUUGUUUUAAGGCAAUAAAUUUGUGAUAAUCUGUUAUAGUAGCAAUAGGAGAAGAAUACAGCAAAU
rnacentral:lncRNA from 10 species